rnacentral:lncRNA from 1 species
UAUUAAUUAAAAAAAUUUCAUACAAUUUUUUUAAUUAUUGUAUUCAAGUUAAAAAGAAAUCUUGGUGUCCCUUUUAAAUUUAAGGGUUUUUGUAGCUUUGGAGAUGCAGGUCCUUUUUUCUUUUUUCUAAUAGAAAACUUUUGUUUGUUUUUUGAAUUUAAUAGUAACUAAUAGGAUUGAAUUUUUUUAUUCACUUAUUGCUACAUUAUAAAGGAGAACGAUGAGUCCCUAUUAAAACUCAUUCCCUUUACGACGAGGAAAUAAACAAAUUCAUUUUGUAUGGACCAUUAAUUCAGUGCACAUACCCAUACGAUUGUAAUAAAAUCUGAAGAGUUUAAGUCUAAAAUCAUAGCAGCAGAAAUGCUGUUAGAAAGAAUUUGUAUAAAGCGAUUCUUGCAUUAAUAGAAGAUUUUACAAUGUUAAAACUAUUCGUGUAUGCAAAACUUAAUCUCAUAUGAGUAAGAAAAAGCCACCAAGAGCCCUUAGAUUUGGUUAAAGGGUUAAAAUUUGUUCGGUCUCUGUAUUUCAAGGUAAGUGUUCAUUUAGUCCAUAUAUUUUUUAAAAUACUUCUAAACAUGUAAAUUAUUAAACUAUUGACACCCCUAUCAUUAAGUUUUUUUAUUUUAACUUGCUUUUAUAAUGUUACCCUUUUAUAAUAAUAUUUUUUUUAAUGUUUUUUU